rnacentral:rRNA from 1 species
CGGACGGGUUAGUAACGCGUGGGAACGUACCCUUCUCUGCGGAAUAGCCACUGGAAACGGUGAGUAAUACCGCAUACGCCCUUCGGGGGAAAGAUUUAUCGGAGAAGGAUCGGCCCGCGUUAGAUUAGAUAGUUGGUGGGGUAAUGGCCUACCAAGUCUACGAUCUAUAGCUGGUUUUAGAGGAUGAUCAGCAACACUGGGACUGAGACACGGCCCAGACUCCUACGGGAGGCAGCAGUGGGGAAUCUUAGACAAUGGGCGCAAGCCUGAUCUAGCCAUGCCGCGUGUGUGAUGAAGGUCUUAGGAUCGUAAAGCACUUUCGCCAGGGAUGAUAAUGACAGUACCUGGUAAAGAAACCCCGGCUAACUCCGUGCCAGCAGCCGCGGUAAUACGGAGGGGGUUAGCGUUGUUCGGAAUUACUGGGCGUAAAGCGUACGUAGGCGGAUCAGAAAGUAAGGGGUGAAAUCCCAGGGCUCAACCCUGGAACUGCCUCUUAAACUCCUGGUCUUGAGUUCGAGAGAGGUGAGUGGAAUUCCAAGUGUAGAGGUGAAAUUCGUAGAUAUUUGGAGGAACACCAGUGGCGAAGGCGGCUCACUGGCUCGAUACUGACGCUGAGGUACGAAAGUGUGGGGAGCAAACAGGAUUAGAUACCCUGGUAGUCCACACCGUAAACGAUGAAUGCCAGUCGUCGGGCAGUAUACUGUUCGGUGACACACCU